UGGGGAAUCUUGGACAAUGGGGGCAACCCUGAUCCAGCAAUGCCGCGUGGGUGAAGAAGGCCUUCGGGUUGUAAAGCCCUUUCGGCAGGGAAGAAAUCGGCGGGGCGAAUAACCCUGCUGGAUGACGGUACCUGCAGAAGAAGCACCGGCUAACUACGUGCCAGCAGCCGCGGUAAUACGUAGGGUGCGAGCGUUAAUCGGAUUUACUGGGCGUAAAGCGUGCGCAGGCGGCCCGUUAAGACAGGUGUGAAAUCCCUGGGCUCAACCUAGGAAUUGCGCUUGUGACUGGCGGGCUCGAGUACGGUAGAGGGGGGUGGAAUUCCUGGUGUAGCAGUGAAAUGCGUAGAGAUCAGGAGGAACACCGAUGGCGAAGGCAGCCCCCUGGGCCUGUACUGACGCUCAUGCACGAAAGCGUGGGGAGCAAACAGGAUUAGAUACCCUGGUAGUCCACGCCCUAAACGAUGGGUACUAGCCGUUUGGUGCGCGAUAGCGCUGAGUGGCGAAGCUAACGCGUGAAGUACCCCGCCUGGGGAGUACGGCCGCAAGGUUGAAACU
rnacentral:rRNA from 1 species